UCCCCAAACCCUGACAUAUGCACAAGGGAACAUUGGAGACGGAGAUCAAGGGUGGAGGAGACUGAGCUAGAGGGCAUGCAGAGGAGACUAAGAUAGAGGGAACAUUGUGAGAAAUCCUGAGAAUGGUGAGUGGUAGUUCCACCAAUCCACCCAUAAUUUUUUCAUUGAGAUAUGGUUUCACCAAGUUACCUCUAUUUUUGUUUUUCCCUCAUCUACCAAAAAAAACCAUGUUUUGACUGUGUGGAGCUUGGAAAGAUCAAGUUCAUUCUCAUUUGGCUCCCCUCUCUGCCCUGGAUGCAAGAAACAAAAUAGAACAUACACAUGUUUGUCAUCCAAAAUGGACCCUGCAACCUUCUCCUCCUCACUAUUCUCAAAAUCCAGGUCUGUCCACAUAGGUGUUGUAUACAUAGGCAUUGUUUACAUAGGCAUUGUCUACAUAGGCAUUGUUUACAUAGAGUUGUAUGUAUAAUGUUGAUUAGCCAACUAUCCAGAUCCAUGUUAUGGGAGAUGAAUGGAUUUUAUAAGAUCUUGACCAACACCAUGAUAAAUGAGAUAAUCUAGGGCCUUUACUACCAUUUUAAAAAAGACAUUUUUAGGAUGGACCCUAAGUGUCCCAUAUCCUAUGAUUCAAACUUGUUGAUAGGUAGGAAUAUUGAGGCUUUGCAGAGUGUCUCAGAAGCAUAGAGUAAAAAUUUCCUGAAGUCCAUGGCCUUGAUCAUGUCUAUAUUUGAGGGUCAUUUGAUCAUGUCAUAAGAUUUCCCAAAAAUCAAUCUCAAUGAAGAGGGUGUUGAAAUAAAGGAAACAUUUGAGGGCAUUCCAUAAAGUUUUCCCCUUCAAGCAAUAUCACAGACAACCUUCCAUCCAAAGUCAACAAAAUUGAAACCCAUUUUUGAGAGUUGUUGAUGCCUCAUCCUAUAACUGACGACAAUGUUAGGAAAUCCGAAGACAUCGUCGAGGGCCCCAGGAAGAGUUGUAUUUUAUUUUUAACAACUUCCCCACACUUAAAUCAACUCAAUUGGAGAUAGGUUCCAACAACUAGAAGAGAAUCACACGCCUUAUGGUUUCUGGUGUGCCCUUGACGACCCUUGAAAAUCUAGAGGACCGAGUACCGUCCAUGCCCGGUCGUACUCAUAACCACAUCAGGUAUCCAAGGUGAACAACCUCUAGUCAAUAGAACAAUGUAGGUAAGGGAAGUCAAAAAAACAUAUCCAUAACUUCAAGAAAAGGAUUGGCUCUGAGGGUUGGGCCUAGGGGUCUACAUCCUCAAACCAUGGGUUAUCAAUAGUCUGCCUGUGGGACUGUCAUUGAUUAAUGAUACCUCCUUUUGAAUGGUAGUGCCAACUAAUUAAUGCUACCUCCUUUUAAAUGGUAGAGCACCACCUAUCAUUCAUGAUCCAACACACAGUAGUCAAUAAUCCCAUCCAUUGCUAAUUGUUGGGCUCUAAAUAUGU
rnacentral:ncRNA from 1 species